UCCUUAUUGCUUUAAAGACACAUCUCUGUUGCUGAGAUUUUUAUUUUUUUAUUUUUUUCUUUUCAGAACUGUGUCUUACAACUUAAGUCAGGCGCAAUGAAAGUUGAACUACACAAAUACUCUGUCCUGGUACUUCCAGAAUUUCCGCAGUCUUUGUAUCUGGCCAUGGGCCAGUCAUUUUUCUUUUGUACAGGAUGAUGACUUAUCUUCCCUCAUUCUGACACUAACACCAUUGAAAUGCCUCCUCCUUUAUCUCCAAGUUUGCCAGCAGAAGCUACCACCUGCAGCACCUUCGUAUGCCAGUGUGAAGCAGCCACAUCUUCAUCCACCAUGUGAUGGCCAGUUUGUGCCUCUGUCAUUUUGGGAUAACACCCUGUGAUUUGCUGAUGCAACUGAGACUGUGCUGAAAGCUGGAUUAGUUUCCUGAAUGCAUUCCAGAUGAAAUGUCACUUUGGUAAUGGAUUUGAAGAAUGAAGAAGACUCAUCUGAAAGAAGUUGGUUGUUUUCUUCUUUUGUUGAUGAGAACCAGGUGUUAAAUGCAUAAUGAGGCAGCACGUAGGUCUGAAAUAAUUUUCUAUUUAUGGUAAUUCUGAGAGCAUGGAACUCAGUAUUUUACCAGUGCCUACAAACUGCUGAAUUAUUUCCCCUGCCUUUUACUAUUCAGGAUGAAAUAACACAUUUCUAUCAAAGUUUCCCAAUGAAACCUCAAUAACUUUGUACUAUCCUUUACAUUUGUGAUUAAUAACAGAACAACAUGAUUUAGAAACAAAAAACCAUCUGUCUCAAACAUGACUUCUUUGUAACCUUAACAGCAUUGAAAAUAGUUAAAAUAGAUGCUGCAAGCUUACCAAGGUAACCACUUUGAAGGGAAAAGGCUUCACAAAUAAUGAGUGAAUGCUGUACCUGCUUUUAAAGUUGGAGAAACUUCUUGUCUGUGUGCCCCUUUAGAAGCUCUGCAGUCUUCUAUCCUCUCACAGAUGAUACAGAGUCAGCAUGUUGUGAUGAGCUCACCAGAAGCUCCUGAAUUUGUCACAUGAUGUGUAGAGCUUUAUGUAUUUUUCUUGCUAAGGUGGGACCAGAAUUUUGGAAAAGUCUGACUGCAACAGCCAUGUCAUUGUAGAUUAUGUAGAAAAU